CCACCACCAAAGCAUUCUCUGGUGUUGAAGGCCCUGCAAAGCAGCAUCGCGGUGGCGGAGCGUCGUUUGCGACGCCCAACACACAAAACAAGCGGUGAGUGCUUUGGGGUGGGGUGACUGCGUACCUUUUGUAUAAUGGGUCAGCGACUUAUAUUCUGUAGCAAGGUUAACCGAAUAGGGGAGCCGGAGGGAAACCGAGUCUUAAUUGGGCGUUAAGUUGCAGGGUAUAGACCCGAAACCCGGUGAUCUAGCCAUGGGCAGGUUGAAGGUUGGGUAACACUAACUGGAGGACCGAACCGACUAAUGUUGAAAAAUUAGCGGAUGACCUGUGGCUGGGGGUGAAAGGCCAAUCAAACCGGGAGAUAGCUGGUUCUCCCCGAAAGCUAUUUAGGUAGCGCCUCGUGAAUUCAUCUCCGGGGGUAGAGCACUGUUUCGGCUAGGGGGCCAUCCCGGCUUACCAACCCGAUGCAAACUGCGAAUACCGGAGAAUGUUAUCACGGGAGACACACGGCGGGUGCUAACGUCCGUCGUGAAGAGGGAAACAACCCAGACCGCCAGCUAAGGUCCCAAAGUCAUGGUUAAGUGGGAAACGAUGUGGGAAGGCCCAGACAGCCAGGAUGUUGGCUUAGAAGCAGCCAUCAUUUAAAGAAAGCGUAAUAGCUCACUGGUCGAGUCGGCCUGCGCGGAAGAUGUAACGGGGCUAAACCAUGCACCGAAGCUGCGGCAGCGACACUCAGGUGUUGUUGGGUAGGGGAGCGUUCUGUAAGCCUGUGAAGGUGGCCUGUGAGGGUUGCUGGAGGUAUCAGAAGUGCGAAUGCUGACAUAAGUAACGAUAAAGCGGGUGAAAAGCCCGCUCGCCGGAAGACCAAGGGUUCCUGUCCAACGUUAAUCGGGGCAGGGUGAGUCGACCCCUAAGGCGAGGCCGAAAGGCGUAGUCGAUGGGAAACGGGUUAAUAUUCCCGUACUUGGUGUUACUGCGAAGGGGGGACGGAGAAGGCUAUGUUGGCCGGGCGACGGUUGUCCCGGUUUAAGCGUGUAGGUGUGUGUUCCAGGUAAAUCCGGUUCACUUUAACACUGAGGCGUGACGACGAGGCACUACGGUGCUGAAGCAACAAAUGCCCUGCUUCCAGGAAAAGCCUCUAAGCAUCAGGUAACAUCAAAUCGUACCCCAAACCGACACAGGUGGUCAGGUAGAGAAUACCAAGGCGCUUGAGAGAACUCGGGUGAAGGAACUAGGCAAAAUGGUGCCGUAACUUCGGGAGAAGGCACGCUGACAC
rnacentral:rRNA from 1 species